GGAUGUGCAGACAAUCUGGAUGUGACAUCUGUCACCCCAUCAAUUGCCAGGGUUGAUUUGGGCGAUCUGGCUGACCUGGAAGGUGUCCUCGUCCUUCUUCAGGCUGCAUGUCAGUGCCUCCUGAAGCUGCACACCUGGUCAAAAAGGACAACCUUCUCCAAUAGAGGAGAACUGUCCUCCAGCCAAGAGCAUAGAGUAGUGGCUGUCCCCUGCUAGAAUCUCCAAACAAGCUAUCCAAGUCCAUAAGAUAGAUGCAUAUCUUGGGAAAAGAAUUGUCACCACAAGGCUUUUGAAGAAAAUUGUCAGUAG
rnacentral:snRNA from 1 species